rnacentral:rRNA from 1 species
UACAGAGACUGCAAGCGUUAUUCGGAUUCACUGGGCGUAAAGCGCACGUAGGCGGCUUUGUAAGUUAGAGGUGAAAGCCCGGGGCUCAACCCCGGAAUUGCCUUUAAGACUGCAUCGCUAGAAUUGUGGAGAGGUAAGUGGAAUUCCGAGUGUAGAGGUGAAAUUCGUAGAUAUUCGGAGGAACACCUGCGGCGAAGGCGGGUAGCUGGGCCAACACUGACGCUGAGACGCGAAAGCUAGGGGAGCAAACGGG